UUAGUUAGAGAUAGGGGCAUUUUGGGGAGUUGAACUUUGGGGUGGGGAAAUAAAUGUAUGGGAGGGGGGAAAUAGAAAUCUAUCUAGUGGCUGGUGAAGUCUGUGAGGAGAGUUACUGGGUCUCUCGAAUUUCCCAGGAAGCUGUUCACUCGCCUUCAUCAAUAAAAUUCUGCAUUAUAGUUCCUUUUUAUUCAUCCAUACUUGUGCCUUUAAUCCUUUGUUUCCAUUUAUAAGUACAGAAAAUACAGGAUCCUAUCAAACUACUUACAGAGAUAUGCAAGUCAUUGCCUGUAGUUAUUUAUGUCCCUCAAAUUGAUUAGGUAGUUGGCGGCUAUCUUUACCUACAUAUGGCCCGAAGAUUUUAAGAAGAUAUGAGACUCGUAAGUUGUCUUAGGGAGAAUUUGACGACUGAGAACGUGUAUGUGAGUAUGUCUGACAGGUAGGAUUCUUCGUGAGAUCCAGGCAGUUCAAUACAAGCUUGAAUCAAUCAUUUCUUGCUGCUUCAGUGCUUCAUGAACUCCAGAUUUAAGGAGCUCCUUUUGCUUUUAUAUGGUUCAGACAACAUUGAACUUCUUUGUCCUUGCCUCUAUCUUUGUGAAUCGAUUCUUUUUUCUCUGCUUGAAAAACAAAGAAUUCCUCUGUUUACUGCAGGAGUUUUAAAUUUUUUAUCAUAGUCCUUGUUACUAUGCUGUAUAACAAUGAGAGUCUAUUUACUGUUUUGGCUGGAAAUCAGGGCAAGAAUUGGAAAGUUACAAGAAAGAACAAAGUGAAAUGAAAAU
rnacentral:lncRNA from 1 species